AGAGAGAGAGAGAGAGAGAGAGAGAGAGGAGGAGGAGGAGGUGGGGGUUAGUUGGGUUUUGAGUUGUUGAGAGCUGAAGUAAUCUGAGGCUUGGUGGAGAGAGAUUUGGUUUGAGUUUAUAAUGAAGGGAUGUUUUCCCCAAGAUUGAAGGCAGGGAAUGCGCGACCGACGAGGAAGUUGGAGUAUUACCAGAACCCAACCAAGUGGAGGAAUGGGUAGAGACCGGCAUUUUCUAUGAGAAAUAUAUAUAUUGCUGUAUGGGAGACAGAUCGUGACUCGUGAGUUGGUGCAUGUGCUUGCUUGCUGGUAUUCCGGGCCCUCUAUAUCACAACCACCCUCACACCAACACCAAAAUAUAGGAUUAAUGUCUAAGUAAUCUUUCCAUCAGAAAAAAAAUUUAUUAAAGGUGUAAUAAAUCUUUAGGGUGCCAAUAGUUUUGGAACCGCUAGUUUUUGAUUUGAAAGAAUUGCUCAUUGUAUCAAAAAACAAAAAAAAAAAA
rnacentral:lncRNA from 1 species